GAUUCUGUUCGGUGUAAUUGUAAUUCACCGCUGCGUUCACUUUUUGCGAUCCUCAGGUGACGUUGUUCUCCAUCUCAUGCUGUUUGAAGUGAAUGUGAAGAUAAAAUAUUUUAUCUUUGCAGUAGUAGUAGAAGAAGAAGAAGAAUGGAACUGUCCAGGGGAGUUUGGCGGGGCGUUACAGUGGCACUAAUUGUAUAAUUGACAGUGAGUAUUAUCAGAGGAUUCUCGUUUGGAAAUUGGCGAAUAUUGCGUCGGAGUUGUGUUGGGUUGGAAUUUGCAGUUUGAAUUGAGUGGCGACGGUGGUAGAGAUGGCGAGGGGUUUACCUUAAGCAGCCGCGAUUUUGGAUUCAUAAAGAGGCGUGUUCUGUUAGGGAAAGCCUCACUGCUGCUUCCAAGUAUGGGGUUGAUGAGGAGCUCUGUUCAUUUCACGUUGGGUGGCUUGGUUGGGGUUUACGUGGCCCAGAACUACAAUGUGCCCGAUGUUGCUGGCCUUGUCAACACUGGCUUGGCCAUUGCCAAGUUCUUUGAAAAGCAGUAUCGAAAGUCCUCCGAGGCUGACGACCAAUCGUAGUCACUCAGCAACCUUGGAAAAUUUUAAGUCCUUGGACCCUGCUUUUUAAGAAGGGAAUAGGACAUUUACCUUUUUGCAAAUCGAGUUGAAAACUGGAAAAUUAGUGGUGUGAAGAAUAGCCAUGAGUCAUCACCAAAAUUGAUUCUUAAUUGUGAGCUGUUUUCAAACAGCAUGUAGAGGUUCCUGCAUCAAGUGACAAUGGUCUUGCAACCUCUUUACAAUACAUUGCAAUCUGAAUUUCUAGACUAUAGGGAAACUGUUAAUUGAAGAUUGAACUCCCCAAGAGUUGAUGCAAUGCAGUGUUUGCAGCUGAAGGCUGUACGGGAGGAGGAAAUAGUGUUGUUACCUUUUAAUUUUUUUAUGAUUAUACUCAAUUUUUUAUUAGGAUA